GGGGGUCCGGCAGAGCCAUGGGGGUGACGGGGACACUCGUGGUGGCCCUGGGGACGCUGCUGCUGCUGGGGGGCCCCGCGGCGCCGGCCCCUGCCCCGCAGCAUCCCUGGGGCCAGGCUCUGGCCUCGCUGCUCCGGCUCCUGAACCUGCUCCCGGGCGCCCCCUUGGGGACAGUGGCGGCACCAGCGCCCCCCCCCGGCACCGGCACCGACCUGGGACCCCCCCACGGGCCGGGGACGUGGCUCCGGGCACCGGGGACACGGACACAGGGACAAGGGGAACGGAUACAGGGAUAUGGGGAACGACCCCAAGGAGCAGGGACAUGGACACAGGGACAAGGGACAUGGGCACAGGGACAUGGGGAACAACCCCAAGGAGCAGGGACAUGGACACAAGGACAUGGGGAACGUCCCCAAGAAGCAGGGACAUGGACACAAGGACAUGGGGAACGUCCUCAAGGAGCAGGGACAUGGACACAAGGACAAGGGGAACAUCCCCAAGGACCAGGGACAUGGACACAGGGACAAGGAGAACGUCCCCAAGGAGCAGGGACAUGGACACAGGGACAAGGGGAACGUUCCCAAGGAGCAGGGACAUGGACACAGGGACAAGGGGAACGUCCCCAAGGAGCAGGGACGCGGCUCCAGGCACUGGGGACACGGACCCAGGACCAUGGGACAUGGAUCCAAGCACAAGGGACACGGAUACAGGGACAAGGGCCACGUCCUCAAGGGCCAUCCCAAGGUCCCCAGGCCCAGGGGUGGCCUCGGAGCUCCAGCGAGAGCAGGAGCAGGAGCAGGAGCAGGGUGAUGCCACCAGACCCUGGGGACAUCGGGAGCCAGGACACAUCCCGGGACACUGAGGACAGUGAGAGCCGAGGUUGGGGACACUCGGAGGAGCUGCAGGAGGUGGCAUAGAGCUGUCCCCAUGUCCCCAUAUUGAUCCUGUGUCCCAAUGUCCCCAUAUCCCCAUGUCCCCAUAUCCCCAUAUCCAUAUAUCCCAAUGUCCCCAUGUCCCUAUAUUGAUCCUGUGUCCCAAUGUCCCCAUAUCCCCAUAUCCCCAUGUCCCCAUGUCCCCAUAUCCCCAUAUCCCCAUGUCCCCAUAUCCCCAUAUCCCCAUAUCCCUAUAUCCCAAUGUCCCAUAUCCCCAUAUUGAUCCUUUGUCCCCACAUCCUCAUAUUGUCCCCAUCCCAUGUCCCCAUUAAAGGUGGAAGCAGCA
rnacentral:lncRNA from 1 species